UGGGGGAUCGUCUAGCGGUAGGACCGAGGCCUUUGAAGCCUUUAACUUAGGUUCGAAUCCUAAUCCCCCAG
rnacentral:tRNA from 1 species